rnacentral:rRNA from 1 species
GAGUUUGAUCCUGGCUCAGGACGAACGCUGGCGGCGUGCUUAACACAUGCAAGUCGAACGGUAAGGCCCUUCGGGGUACACGAGUGGCGAACGGGUGAGUAACACGUGGGUGAUCUGCCCUGCACUUCGGGAUAAGCCCGGGAAACUGGGUCUAAUACCGGAUAGUACUGCGCGGUGCAUGCCGUGUGGUGGAAAGAUUUAUCGGUGCAGGAUGGGCCCGCGGCCUAUCAGCUUGUUGGUGGGGUAAUGGCCUACCAAGGCGACGACGGGUAGCCGGCCUGAGAGGGCGACCGGCCACACUGGGACUGAGACACGGCCCAGACUCCUACGGGAGGCAGCAGUGGGGAAUAUUGCACAAUGGGCGCAAGCCUGAUGCAGCGACGCCGCGUGAGGGAUGACGGCCUUCGGGUUGUAAACCUCUUUCAGCAGGGACGAAGCGCAAGUGACGGUACCUGCAGAAGAAGCACCGGCCAACUACGUGCCAGCAGCCGCGGUAAUACGUAGGGUGCAAGCGUUGUCCGGAAUUACUGGGCGUAAAGAGCUCGUAGGCGAUUUGUCGCGUCGUCUGUGAAAACCAGCCGCUCAACUGUUGGCUUGCAGGCGAUACGGGCAGACUUGAGUAUUUCAGGGGAGACUGGAAUUCCUGGUGUAGCGGUGAAAUGCGCAGAUAUCAGGAGGAACACCGGUGGCGAAGGCGGGUCUCUGGGAAAUAACUGACGCUGAGGAGCGAAAGCGUGGGUAGCGAACAGGAUUAGAUACCCUGGUAGUCCACGCCGUAAACGGUGGGCGCUAGGUGUGGGUUUCCUUCCACGGGAUCCGUGCCGUAGCUAACGCAUUAAGCGCCCCGCCUGGGGAGUACGGCCGCAAGGCUAAAACUCAAAGGAAUUGACGG